ACGGAUAUGCUAACACAUCAUAUCCAAUUGGAAUAUUAUUUUCAAUUUGGAUCAAAUAACCACAAUCAAAGAAAUUGAACAAUUAAAAUGAAACUAAAGGUCACACAAUACAUGAACAUGGUAUAUGGAAUUAAAAGGGAAUUAAAAUGACUUAAUCCUAAUUGAUCCUAAGCAUGAAUUAAAAGUCACGAAUUAUGGGGAAACUCUAAUCAAGAAUUAAUAUGGCUAAUCGAGUAUUUUUUAGGGAGUUUUCUCAUGGUUAACAAAUGAAGUAACAAACAAACAAAUCCUAAUCAUGUUAAAGUCUAAAUCUACUUAAAUUCCUAAUAAAAAAAGGUCAAUUAAACGGAUUUUAUUAUCAAUUCUAACAAUCAACUAUUAAAUCCUAAACACAAUCAUCAACAAUUAAAAUUUUAAACAAAUCCAAAUUACAUGAAAAUCCUAAUUACCAUUAAUUAACUCCAAAAUUCACUAAUCAAACUAAACUAAGCCCUAAUAACAUUGGUGAAUGGACUCAGCACAUAUGAAUGGGCCUGGAGGUGAAGAUUGUAAAGCCCGGAAUCGCAGGGGUGCAACGUAGUGCACGGGGGGUACGAAACUGAAUCACGUGGGCCUAGAAGCCCAAUACCUCAGUACAAAUGAGAGACCAAACGUAUCAAGCUAACAAGCCCUCUCACAUACUCGGUUCCAUCUACAGCGAUGGACAUACAUCGUCGGAGCACUCUGCCCCCGCUGCGUCGUGCUUCAUCCCUUGCGGCGUUGGAGAGCCAUCCUCCAUCCAAAUUAACCACAACCUUGCUCUAAUUCCUAUUCAGCAAAUCGAAACACCUAUGAACCCUAGGUUACCUAUCUGGAAAUUGCGUUACUAUGCGGAGACAAUCGAGUUCACAACCUUGGGAAAAUUGUUCAUUAGAUUCAUAUAUACACAGAGGUUGCUAACGUGAUUCAAAUAGAAGGAGUUUUCACGUGCCUUUUAACGUCGGCGGUGGAGCACCCGGCGGAAGGCGUUUGGAUAAGGUUCCGGUAUGAAAUGCUCGCCGCUCUUCUCUCCUAUUCCUUUCCUACUUCGAUCUUCUUCGUCGCUAUCGUGCGAUUUGAAUUGCGUCUCUCUUGUGUCCCGAAUCGUAACUGUCGAAGGUGUUGUUGGAACGAUGGAAUCGCAAAGAUUUUUGAAGCAACGUACACUUCAGAGUAAAGAAUUCCAGUUCGGAUGAAAGUAGCCAACAGACUCGUCGGAGAAGACGACCGGUGCAACGGUGGCGCCGAUAAACGCAACUCUCAGGUGCCUGAAGCUACAGUUCUUGCUUUGUCGUUUCUCGCCGCCGGCCUUGCCGUUAGGAGCUUGCUUUUGUAUCUUUAGCAAUUUCGUUUUGAUGCAUUUUAUUGGUAAAUCUUUCAGGCUGCGUCUUAACUUGUAAUCCGAAAUUCAAGUCAAUAUCGGUUUUUUGGUGUUGAACGUAUGAAAUGGUGUAAUGAAAACUGGGUUAGAGAAUUUGGAUAUGUGAAAUGGAUCGAUCUGGUUUGAGAA